GGCGAAGGCGGGAAAUGAAAACGUUUUGUUGAAGAUGUGUGAAUUACUUACUUGAAAAGACAAAACAGUUAAAAUGAGUACUUUAGAGCAAGCUUCAAGAAAACUAUUUAUAGGGGAAAUCCAAGAGAUAUUUCGAUCUAAACCAGCUUCGGCCAUUGAACCUUUGUGUGUUUGGUUACAAGGAACAGUAAUAAAGAAUAACGAUAACAGUAGUGAAAUCUAUAUAGAUGAUGGAACUGGUAUUGUUCAAAUUUUUGGAAAUGAUAAAAUACCAAACUGUCCUAGAGUACGUAAGGGUCAGUACGUGAUGGUUAUUGGUAUCGUAAUAUCAGGCAGUUUGACUCCUGUUGUUCGUACUUUCAAAGUUCAAGAUUUAACCUCCUGUGUUGCCAUGGAAACAAUGUGGAUACUAGAAGUGAUAGAUCAAUCAGUGACAUGUUAUCGGUGAAUAUAGCCAUGCUAUAGGACAUGGAUUCUGUGAUGAUCGCUGGAUUGAUAUAUUGACGCUAAAUCAUGAAAUGAUAAAAUAAAAAUCCACUGACAAAUUGUGAAUUUGAAAAAUGAUACAGAGGUGGAGGAGUUGUAUAAAAAUUGUAUUCUACAAGAGAGGAUCUUGAAAAAUAUUUGAUUUGUAGAGGAGUUAACAAAUAACCAACCAACCAUAUUUGGAUAGUAUGGGGAUCAAAAAAUGUGUUCCUAUCCUCUCUGGUAAUAUUAAGCACAAUAGCCCUUAUUAACGAAAAGAACAAAGGAAAAUGGUCCUUAAUUAUGAUGUGUACAUACUUUGUUGGGGGAGGGGUGUGUGCUAUAAAAAGUGUUGUUUCCUGUUGAACUUCCCACUCACCCAGGUAUUAUUAAAUAGAGAGAGAGAGAGAAAUUGGGUUUAACGUCCACUCGACACAAACUAGGUCAUUUCGGGACUAACACAUGGUUCAAUUUUAUUUCAAUAAUUCGCAUGCGCGUAGGGGUCAUUAGCAGUGGGAGGAAACCGGAGGACCCGGAGAAAACCCAUGAGGUUGGACAGGCGACCCUACUCCUUGUCACGUACAACCGGGGAAUCGAAACCCUGCCAGUUGACUCAAUGACAGACCGUAUGAUACAGUGCACGCAUGCUAACCAUUAACCAUUCGGCCAUCCAACUCCCCUAUUAUUAAAUAACCUGUAAUUGAGAUGACUUAUGAUGUUAUUAGAUAUACAGCUAUUAUUAUUAUUAUGAUAAAUAAAGAAGUCUUGUUUCUUAUAAUUUUAUUAUCAUAUUAUACAUGUAUACAAAGUAAUUGAUGCAUAUUUUGAUGAGCGCAUGAUUAUUAUACAUGAAAAAAUAUGAAAGUCUUAAAAAAUAAAAAAGAUCAACAAUAAA